AUUGAACGCUGGCGGCAGGCCUAACACAUGCAAGUCGAGCGGCAGCGGAAAGUAGCUUGCUACUUUGCCGGCGAGCGGCGGACGGGUGAGUAAUGUCUGGGAAACUGCCUGAUUGAGGGGGAGAACUACUGGAAACGGUAGCUAAUACCGCAUAACGUCGCAAGACCAAAGAGGGGGACCUUCGGGCCUUUUGCCAUCAGAUGGGCCCGGAUGGGAUUAGCUAGUAGGUGGGGUAAUGGCUCACCUAGGCGACGAUCCCUAGCUGGUCUGAGAGGAUGACCAGCCACACUGGAACUGAGACACGGUCCAGACUCCUACGGGAGGCAGCAGUGGGGAAUAUUGCACAAUGGGCGCAAGCCUGAUGCAGCCAUGCCGCGUGUAUGAAGAAGGCCUUCGGGUUGUAAAGUACUUUCAGCGGGGAGGAAGGUGCUGAGGUUAAUAACCUCAGCAAUUGACGUUACUCGCAGAAGAAGCACCGGCUAACUCCGUGCCAGCCGCCGCGGUAA
rnacentral:rRNA from 1 species